CUCUGUGGGAUAAGUGGCGAACGGGUGAGUAACACGUGAGCAACCUGCCCCUGACUCUGGGAUAAGCGCUGGAAACGGCGUCUAAUACUGGAUACGAGUAGCGGCCGCAUGGUCAGUUACUGGAAAGAAUUUCGGUUGGGGAUGGGCUCGCGGCCUAUCAGCUUGUUGGUGAGGUAAUGGCUCACCAAGGCGUCGACGGGUAGCCGGCCUGAGAGGGUGACCGGCCACACUGGGACUGAGACACGGCCCAGACUCCUACGGGAGGCAGCAGUGGGGRAUAUUGCACAAUGGGCGCAAGCCUGAUGCAGCAACGCCGCGUGAGGGAUGACGGCCUUCGGGUUGUAAACCUCUUUUAGCAGGGAAGAAGCGAAAGUGACGGUACCUGCAGAAAAAGCGCCGGCUAACUACGUGCCAGCAGCCGCGGUAAUACGUAGGGCGCAAGCGUUAUCCGGAAUUAUUGGGCGUAAAGAGCUCGUAGGCGGUUUGUCGCGUCUGCUGUGAAAUCCCGAGGCUCAACCUCGGGCCUGCAGUGGGUACGGGCAGACUAGAGUGCGGUAGGGGAGAUUGGAAUUCCUGGUGUAGCGGUGGAAUGCGCAGAUAUCAGGAGGAACACCGAUGGCGAAGGCAGAUCUCUGGGCCGUAACUGACGCUGAGGAGCGAAAGGGUGGGGAGCAAACAGGCUUAGAUACCCUGGUAGUCCACCCCGUAAACGUUGGGAACUAGUUGUGGGGUCCAUUCCACGGAUUCCGUGACGCAGCUAACGCAUUAAGUUCCCCGCCUGGGGAGUACGGCCGCAAGGCUAAAACUCAAAGGAAUUGACGGGGACCCGCACAAGCGGCGGAGCAUGCGGAUUAAUUCGAUGCAACGCGAAGAACCUUACCAAGGCUUGACAUAUACGAGAACGGGCCAGAAAUGGUCAACUCUUUGGACACUCGUAAACAGGUGGUGCAUGGUUGUCGUCAGCUCGUGUCGUGAGAUGUUGGGUUAAGUCCCGCAACGAGCGCAACCCUCGUUCUAUGUUGCCAGCACGUAAUGGUGGGAACUCAUGGGAUACUGCCGGGGUCAACUCGGAGGAAGGUGGGGAUGACGUCAAAUCAUCAUGCCCCUUAUGUCUUGGGCUUCACGCAUGCUACAAUGGCCGGUACAAAGGGCUGCAAUACCGCGAGGUGGAGCGAAUCCCAAAAAGCCGGUCCCAGUUCGGAUUGAGGUCUGCAACUCGACCUCAUGAAGUCGGAGUCGCUAGUACUCGCAGAUCCUCUAUAGUGCGGUGAAUAUCACGAUAAGUCGUAACAAGGUAACCCGGUAGAGUUGAUACUCGUUCACGUUAAGUCGUUCAAGGUAACCAGUAGCA
rnacentral:rRNA from 1 species